GACGAACGCUGGCGGCGUGCUUAACACAUGCAAGUCAAGGACCGUAGCAAUACGGGACUGGCGCACGGGUGCGGAACACGUAGGCAAUCUGCCCUUCAGGGGAGAACAACCAGCCGAAAGGUUGGCUAAAUCUCCGUAAAAUCAUAGAGUGGCAUCACUUAUUGAUCAAGUUUUCUGAAGGAUGAGCCUGCGUCUGAUUAGCUAGUUGGCGGGGUAACGGCCCACCAAGGCUACGAUCAGUAGCUGGUCUGAGAGGAUGAUCAGCCACAUUGGGACUGAGAUACGGCCCAGACUCCUACGGGAGGCAGCAGUGAGGAAUAUUGCUCAAUGGGGGAAACCCUGAAGCAGCAACGCCGCGUAAAGGAUGAAGGCGC
rnacentral:rRNA from 1 species